ensembl:lncRNA
GAACUGCCUCCUCUCAGAAGCGAGCAGAGGACCCCAUAGGCAGCCGCGAAGUCCAUCCCAAAGGGGUCGUGGGCCAUGAGCAACAAUGCCCUGGGGAGAGUUUAAGUGUGGACCACUCCCUUUGAAUGUACCUCAUACCAUGAAGAGUUUUCACUGUUCAAGGAUGAUCCUCAUAGGAAGGGGGGGAAAUGCAGUUUAAAAAGGAGAUGCAAGAGACACAGGUCCAAGCCCUGAGUCAGGAAGAUCCCCUGGAAUAGGAAAUGGCAACCCCUUCCAACCUUCUUGCCUGGGAAACUCCACGGAUAGAGGAACCUGACUGGCUACAAUCUGUAAGGUCGCAGAGAGUCAGACACAACUGAGCAUGCAUGCAGCAAGACCCUUCUUACCUAUCUGGAGAGAACACACACACACAUACACACACA